GACAGAGGGUGCAAACGUUGUUCGGAAUUACUGGCGUAAAGCGCAUGUAGGCGGCCCGGCAGGUCGGAUGUGAAAUCCCUCGGCUCAACCAAGGAAGUGCAUUCGAAACCGCCAGGCUCGAGUCCCGGAGAGAUGGUGGAAUUCUCGGUGUAGAGGUGAAAUUCGUAGAUAUCGAGAGGAACACCGGCGGCGAAGGCGGCCAUCUGGACGAGGACUGACGCUGAGAUGCGAAGCGUGGGAG
rnacentral:rRNA from 1 species